CAGUUUUGCUCCAAGGACCAAUCCAGAACCUGAAACCGUGUGCCUACAACAAGUUCGAGCCCGUUAAUGGGUGAGAGCGUGCCUUUUGUAGAAUGAACCGGCGAGUUACGAUAUGAUGCGAGGUUAAGUUGAAGAGACGGAGCCGUAGGGAAACCGAGUCUUAAUAGGGCGCAUUAGUAUCAUGUCGUAGACCCGAAACCAUGUGACCUACCCAUGAGCAGGUUGAAGGUGAGGUAAAACUCACUGGAGGACCGAACCAGGGCACGUUAAAAAGUGCUUGGAUGACUUGUGGGUAGCGGAGAAAUUCCAAACGAACUUGGAGAUAGCUGGUUCUCUCCGAAAUAGCUUUAGGGCUAGCGUCGAUGUUAAGUCUCUUGGAGGUAGAGCACUGUUUGGGUGAGGGGUCCAUCCCGGAUUACCAAUCUCAGAUAAACUCCGAAUGCCAACGAGAUAUAAUCGGCAGUCAGACUGCGAGUGCUAAGAUCCGUAGUCGAAAGGGAAACAGCCCAGACCACCAGCUAAGGUCCCAAAAUAUAUGUUAAGUGGAAAAGGAUGUGGGGUUGCACAGACAACUAGGAUGUUAGCUUAGAAGCAGCUAUUCAUUCAAAGAGUGCGUAAUAGCUCACUAGUCGAGUGACCCUGCGCCGAAAAUGUACCGGGGCUAAAACAUAUUACCGAAGCUGUGGAUACCUUUAUAGGUAUGGUAGGAGAGCGUUCUAUGUGCGAAGAAGGUGUACCGUGAGGAGUGCUGGAGCGCAUAGAAGUGAGAAUGCCGGUAUGAGUAGCGAAAGACAGGUGAGAAUCCUGUCCACCGUAAGACUAAGGUUUCCAGGGGAAGGCUCGUCCGCCCUGGGUUAGUCGGGACCUAAGGAGAGACCGAAAGGUGUAUCCGAUGGACAACAGGUUGAUAUUCCUGUACUAGAGUAUAUAGUGAUGGAGGGACGCAGUAGGCUAACUAAACCAGACGAUUGGAAGUGUCUGGCCAAGCAGUGAGGUGUGAUAUGAGUCAAAUGCUUAUAUCUAUAACAUUGAGCUGUGAUGGGGAGCGAAGUUUAGUAGCGAAGUUAGUGAUGUCACACUGCCAAGAAAAGCUUCUAGCGUUAAUUAUACUCUACCCGUACCGCAAACCGACACAGGUAGUCGAGGCGAGUAGCCUCAGGUGAGCGAGAGAACUCUCGUUAAGGAACUCGGCAAAAUGGCCCCGUAACUUCGGGAGAAGGGGCGCUGACUUAUGGUCAGCCGCAGUGAAUAGGCCCAAGCAACUGUUUAUCAAAAACACAGCUCUCUGCUAAACCGUAAGAUGAUGUAUAGGGGGUGACGCCUGCCCGGUGCUGGAAGGUUAAGAGGAGUGCUUAGCGUAAGCGAAGGUAUGAAUUGAAGCCCCAGUAAACGGCGGCCGUAACUAUAACGGUCCUAAGGUAGCGAAAUUCCUUGUCGGGUAAGUUCCGACCCGCACGAAAGGCGUAAUGAUUUGGGCACUGUCUCAACGAGAGACUCGGUGAAAUUUUAGUACCUGUGAAGAUGCAGGUUACCCGCGACAGGACGUC
rnacentral:rRNA from 1 species